rnacentral:tRNA from 1 species
AGUGAAGUAAGCUAAAAUAAGCUGUUGGGUUCAUACCCCAAAUAUGACCUGGUUAUGUGUCCUUCACUA